AUGCACGCUGGCGGCGUGCCUAAUACAUGCAAGUCGAGCGAACAGACGAGGAGCUUGCUCCUCUGACGUUAGCGGCGGACGGGUGAGUAACACGUGGAUAACCUACCUAUAAGACUGGGAUAACUUCGGGAAACCGGAGCUAAUACCGGAUAACAUGUUGAACCGCAUGGUUCAACAGUGAAGGACGGUCUUGCUGUCACUUAUAGAUGGAUCCGCGCCGCAUUAGCUAGUUGGUAAGGUAACGGCUUACCAAGGCAACGAUGCGUAGCCGACCUGAGAGGGUGAUCGGCCACACUGGAACUGAGACACGGUCCAGACUCCUACGGGAGGCAGCAGUAGGGAAUCUUCCGCAAUGGGCGAAAUCCUGACGGAGCAACGCCGCGUGAGUGAAGAAGGUCUUCGGAUCGUAAAACUCUGUUAUUAGGGAAGAACAAAUGUGUAAGUAACUAUGCACGUCUUGACGGUACCUAAUCAGAAAGCCACGGCUAACUACGUG
rnacentral:rRNA from 1 species